AUGUUGUAUGACAAGCACAAGGGGAUUUUUGCAGCGGAGGUAGAUGAUGUAGUAGGCAAGUUUGGACAGUGUUUAAAGGGAUUACGGUGCAAUCGGAUGGCCGCUCUCCUUCAUGAUGUUGGAUACGCCAUCACAGCUACCAAUGAGCCCAACUUUUCCUUUGCAGCACCUAGCAUGGAUGAAUGUCGUGGAAAAGAGCAUGAUGCUCAAGCUGAAAAUGCCGGCAUUGAUGCUCAAGCUCAAGCUGAAGCUGCAACACCUAGCAUGAACAAGGAUGAAGUCAGUGGGGAGCUGAAAAAGAACCAAGAAGUUGCAACAGAGACUGCUGAAACUCAUGAGAAACAAAGAGUGAGUUUUGAGAUGGAAGGCAAUGUCUCACCUCAUAGCCCCCCACUCUUCCAUGAUGCACCGAGAAGUGCGACAGCUGGGAUUUGGGUCGAUGAGCCAUCAUGUGAGCUGUUCCCAAAGGGUUCAGAAGACUAUGAGUUGAUGCAUUGCAGGGAUGAGCCUACAAACAAGAAGAGCACAUUUAGCCCCAUCUAUGCCAACAUCACUGUGUUUCCUGUAUCAGACGAUGAUGACAACCCAACUGCUACGAUGGUCGCUACAGAAGGCAAAUUGUUGAUGUAA
rnacentral:rRNA from 1 species